CCUACGGGGGGCAGCAGUGGGGAAUAUUGCACAAUGGGCGCAAGCCUGAUGCAGCCAUGCCGCGUGUGUGAAGAAGGCCUUCGGGUUGUAAAGCACUUUCAGCGGGGAGGAAGGCGGUGAGGUUAAUAACCUCAUCGAUUGACGUUACCCGCAGAAGAAGCACCGGCUAACUCCGUGCCAGCAGCCGCGGUAAUACGGAGGGUGCAAGCGUUAAUCGGAAUUACUGGGCGUAAAGCGCACGCAGGCGGUCUGUCAAGUCGGAUGUGAAAUCCCCGGGCUCAACCUGGGAACUGCAUUCGAAACUGGCAGGCUAGUGUCUUGUAGAGGGGGGUAGAAUUCCAGGUGUAGCGGUGAAAUGCGUAGAGAUCUGGAGGAAUACCGGUGGCGAAGGCGGCCCCCUGGACAAAGACUGACGCUCAGGUGCGAAAGCGUGGGGAGCAAACAGGAUUAGAUACCCUAGUAGUC
rnacentral:rRNA from 1 species